GGUGGAGCGAUUUGUCUGGUUAAUUCCGAUAACGAACGAGACUCUAUCCUGCUAACUAGUCGGUGGAUCGUUACCUUAGUCGGGUCGUCUCUUUCGCGCCGUAGUUGUUGCGGUGGAUGUCGUUCGGUAAAGGUGUCGACGCGUUCGAUGUGCGUUUUGCUUUCGGGCAUGCGUUCGGAGGCGCGUAACGGCCUUUAUCGGGCGCUCUCCCACACUGCGGUUGCGGGUGGCGCUCGGUUAGGGGCGUUCAUCGUAUUUCUUCUUAGAGGGAUUGUCGGUUCGUAGCCGUAAGAGAAUGAGCAAUAACAGGUCUGUGAUGCCCUUAGAUGUCCUGAGCUGCACGCGCGCUACAAUGAUUGUAGCAGCGUGCUUUCCUUCUCCGAAAGGAGUGAGUAACCCCGUGAAUUGCAAUCCCGCUUGGGAUUGGGGAUUGCAAUAUUUCCUCAUGAACGAGGAAUGCCUAGUAAGCGCAGGUCAAAAGCUUGCGUUGACUAAGUCCCUGCCCUUUGUACACACCGCCCGUCGCUACUACCGAUUGGAUGAAGUAUCAAAGACGUUGGACCGUGGCCCCUUAGUUUCGCCGAAUGCGUGCGUAUACGACGGGAUUGUGGAAAGGCGUCUGAGGUAGCUUAUCUAGAGGAAGUAAAAGUCGUAACAAGGUCUUCGUUGGUGAACCUGCGGAAGGAUCAUUA
rnacentral:rRNA from 1 species